GUGGGGAAUCUUCCGCAAUGGACGAAAGUCUGACGGAGCAACGCCGCGUGAGUGAAGAAGGUUUUCGGAUCGUAAAGCUCUUUCGUUAGGGACGAACGUGCUCUUUGUGAAUAAUGAGGAGUAAUGACGGUACCUAAAUAAGAAGCCACGGCUAACUACGUGCCAGCAGCCGCGGUAAUACGUAGGUGGCAAGCGUUGACCGGAAUUAUUGGGCGUAAAGCGCGCGCAGGCGGGAUAUCAAGUCUGUCUUAAAAGUGCGAGGCUCAACCUCGUGAGGGGACAGAAACUGGUAUUCUUGAGUGUCGGAGAGGAAAGUGGAAUUCCAAGUGUAGCGGUGAAAUGCGUAGAGAUUUGGAAGAACACCAGUGGCGAAGGCGACUUUCUGGACGAUGUCUGACGCUGAGGCGCGAAAGCUAGGGGAGCGAACGGGAUUAGAUACCCCUGUAGUCC
rnacentral:rRNA from 1 species